UCAUAUUUAACAUUAAAAAUAUAUGUCUCAUAUUUAGUAGAUAUUAAGCUGAUAUUUAUUUUGGUUUUAGUAUUCUUAUAAUAUAAAUAGAUAGAUGCACAUGAGUAGGAGCAAAAUAGUUUGUCAUUAUGGUAUCAAUGUGCCUAAUUUAGUUGUCAUUGCUCUUCUCUCUUUUGCUUUGUUCAAUUGAAGGAAGAAGCGUUCCUUAAUUGAGGAAGAAGAACUAAAGUUAUAGAAAGAACUACUUGUCCUCCAGGAAGGAACUGUUAUCAUUCGUCGAACUCGAAAAAAAAUCUAAUCAUGGCGAAAGAACUACCCAAAUACUUCAGAAACUAGGCUCUAGAUAUCGUGUUCUUGAUUCUUCGGGCCAGCAUGUAAAUAGCAAAUGUCCUCAGAUAUCAUCACAAAGUAUGCGAUAGCGCAGAGCCAAAAAAAGGUCGUUUCCGUGGCUUCCAAUCAGGAUCACUAUGUGGUCACUCCCAAUUGUGGGGCCAGAUCGAGCUUCUGCAAAUCAAGUAUGGAUGAUGGGAGACAUCGAUGGUGGAUCAGGUAGCAGGUAAAGGAUUUAUGGAGUCGCCUGGAGAACCUGUCCGCCAGUCCCACGUCACAUUCGAGGACGAACUUAUGAUUUUGUAUUCCUUACGUUACUGGUGUUUUGGUUUUGUACUUGUUCUUGUAUUUGUGUAUGCUUUUAUAUGGAGUUUGGCUUUGUAGCAUCUUGUAUUUGGUUUGAUGUGGUGGUUGUCGUGUCAAGUCGAGCUGGCUCGCAGUUGGGUGUAUUGUGGUUUUGUGAUCGUUAUUUGUGAUUU